rfam:Gossypium raimondii Chr08_contig_1321, whole genome shotgun sequence.
UGUUUAACUUUUAUCCAUUUGUAGUGUUAAAAAUUGGCGUAGUUGAUAAAAUAACCAGGCAGUGAUAUGUGAUGUGUCAUAUGUAUCUCAUAUUGAUGUACAAUGAUUGAUUUUUAACAGAAAAAAUGAAUGAAAUUUUUAACA